ACCUACGGGAGGCAGCAGUCGAGAAUCAUUCACAAUGGGGGAAACCCUGACGGUGCGACGCCGCGUGGGGGAAUGAAGGUCUUCGGAUUGUAAACCCCUGUCAUGUGGGAGCAAAUUAAAAAGAUAGUACCACAAGAGGAAGAGACGGCUAACUCUGUGCCAGCAGCCGCGGUAAUACAGAGGUCUCAAGCGUUGUUCGGCAUCACUGGGCGUAAAGCGUGCGUAGGCUGUUUCGUAAGUCGUGUGUGAAAGGCGCGGGCUCAACCCGCGGACGGCACAUGAUACUGCGAGACUAGAGUAAUGGG
rnacentral:rRNA from 1 species